rnacentral:tRNA from 1 species
GGAGGGGUGGCCGAGUGGUUGAAGGCGGCGGUCUUGAAAACCGCAGGACGAAAGUCCCGUGGGUUCGAAUCCUACCCCCUCCGCCA